rnacentral:rRNA from 1 species
CCUACGGGUGGCAGCAGUGAGGAAUAUUGGUCAAUGGGCGGGAGCCUGAACCAGCCAAGUCGCGUGAGGGACGACGGUCCUAUGGAUUGUAAACCUCUUUUGUCGGGGAACAAAGGCGUCCACGGGUGGGCGGAUGAGUGUACCCUAAGAAACAGCAUCGGCUAACUCCGUUCCAGCAGCCGCGGUAAUACGGAGGAUGCGAGCGUUAUCCGGAUUAAUUGGGUUUAACGGGUGGGUAGGCGGACAGUCAAGUUAGUGGUAAAAAUGCGGUGCUCAACGCCGAACAGCAGGUGAAACUGGCAGUCUUGAGUGGGCGAGAGGUAUGCGGAAUGCGUGGUGUAGCGGUGAAAUGCAUAGAUAUCACGCAGAACUCCGAUUGCGAAGGCAGCAUACCGGCGCCCUACUGACGCUGAGGCACGAAAGCGUGGGUAUCGAACAGGAUUAGAUACCCUUGUAGUC